AUUGAACGCUGGCGGCAUGCUUUACACAUGCAAGUCGAACGGUAACAGGUUAAGCUGACGAGUGGCGAACGGGUGAGUAAUGCAUCGGAACGUGCCCGAUCGUGGGGGAUAACGCAGCGAAAGCUGCGCUAAUACCGCAUACGAUCUGAGGAUGAAAGCGGGGGACCGUAAGGCCUCGCGCGAUCGGAGCGGCCGAUGUCAGAUUGGGUAGUUGGUGGGGUAAAGGCUCACCAAGCCGACGAUCUGUAGCUGGUCUGAGAGGACGACCAGCCAAACUGGGACUGAAACGCGGGCCCGACUCCUACGGGAGGCAGCAGUGGGGAAUUUUGGACAAUGGGCGCAAGCCUGAUCCAGCAAUGCCGCGUGCAGGAAGAAGGCCUUCGAGUUGUAAACUGCUUUUGUACGGAGCGAAAAGGCUCUCUCUAAUACAGGGGGUUCAUGACGGUACCGUAAGAAUAAGCACCGGCUAACUACGUGCCAGCCGCCGCAGUAA
rnacentral:rRNA from 1 species